AUUGAACGCUGGCGGCAUGCCAUACACAUGCAAGUCGAACGGUAACAGGUCUUUCGGGAUGCUGACGAGUGGCGAACGGGUGAGUAAUACAUCGGAACGUGCCUAGUAGUGGGGGAUAACUACUCGAAAGAGUGGCUAAUACCGCAUGAGAUCUAUGGAUGAAAGCAGGGGACCUUCGGGCCUUGUGCUACUAGAGCGGCCGAUGGCAGAUUAGGUAGUUGGUGGGAUAAAAGCUUACCAAGCCUACGAUCUGUAGCUGGUCGGAGAGGACGAUCAGCAACACUGGGACUGAGACACGGAGCAGACGCCUACGGGAGGAAGGAGUGGGGAAUUUUGGACAAGGGGGGCAAGCCUGAUCCAGCAAUGCCGCGUGCAGGAUGAAGGCCUUCGGGUUGUAAACUGCUUUUGUACGGAACGAAAAGUCGUGGGUUAAUACCCUGGGAUCAUGACGGUACCGUAAGAAUAAGCACCGGCUAACUACGUGCCAGCAGCCGCCGUAA
rnacentral:rRNA from 1 species